AUGCCCAGGGCAUCUACCCAGAGGCAUUCUCCCCCCAAAUCUGCAGGUUUGGAGGUGCGGGGGGGGGGCAGAAGAUCUAUUGUGAGGAAGCCAAGAAGCAGAUGUCUGCCUCCCCUGCUCCCUCCCACAGGGCAAGGAUGUGAAACUAACCCAGAGUGGACGGUGAAGUGCAACUGCCGGGUGUUCUUCCAGUUCUGGAGAAUGCACAGCUUCCUGCUCAAUGCCAGCUGGACCUUCUUCCUAGAGAGAAGCAACUGCUGUCGGACACAUUGCUGGGGAAAGCCAGACAUGAGCCUCCUUCAGCACCGGACACAGCCUAGGAUCCUGCUGGGCUCAGGACCUCCCCUCCCAUCUCUAGUCCCACGAGGAAUGUUUGUUCCCGUUCUCUGCUGGGGGAGUUUUUUCAUGGCGGGGCCUCAUCCUCGACGAAGCUGUGGGACUCAGAGCCAGGCUCUGUGUGGCCCGACGAUCCUGCUGACCCUGGCCUCCUGCAGACCAUGGGCCGCCAUACCCCUGGCCGCAUUUCCAGCUUUUCAAGUGGGAAGAAACCACCCCGUGUCCCAGGACUUGCACUUCUGUGGGCCAUCCUCAGCAAGGUUCGGAGUCAGUGGGGGUGGGCAGCGGCUCAGCCAUGAAGAAGCCGAGAAGCGAUGUCUGCCUCCCCUCCUCCCUCCCAGAAGAUCUGGAUGUGAAACUAACCCAGAGUGGACGCUGAAGCUCAGCUGCCAAGUAAUCUCCCAUUCCCGGAGAGACUGCACAGCUUCCUGCUCAAUGCCAGCUGGGCCUUCAUCCUGGAGAGGAGCAACUGGCAGCUCUGUGUGAAAGCUUCUGCUUUCAUGGAGCAGAAUUGCUGUUUGGGGGCUGGGGAUGACUGGAGUCCUGCAGGACUUUACCAGGUAACAGCACUGUCCCUCGUGCCCUCAUAG
rnacentral:lncRNA from 1 species